rnacentral:rRNA from 1 species
GAUGAACGCUGACAGAAUGCUUAACACAUGCAAGUCUACUUGAUUCUACUUCGGUAGUUGAUGGUGGCGGACGGGUGAGUGACGCGUAAAGAAUCUGCCCUUUAGUUUGGGAUAACCUUUGGAAACGAAGGCUAAUACCGGAUAUUAUGGAGACGUCGCAUGGCGACUCCAUGAAAGCUAUAUGCGCUAGAGGAGGACUUUGCGUCCCAUUAGUUAGUUGGUGAGGUAAUGGCUCACCAAGACCGCGAUGGGUAGCCGGCCUGAGAGGGUGAUCGGCCACAAGGGAACUGAGACACGGUCCUUACUCCUACGGGAGGCAGCAGUGGGGAAUAUUGGACAAUGGGCCACAAGCCUGAUCCAGCAAUUCUGUGUGCACGAUGAAGGUCUUCGGAUUGUAAAGUGCUUUCAGUAGGGAAGAAAUAAAUGACGGUACCUACAGAAGAAGCGACGGCUAAAUAUGUGCCAGCCGCCGCCGUAAUAC